AUGGUUGUGUGUGAAAUGAAUUCGGGUCUGAUUAGGGCCGCAAACCCUAUCAGGCUGUGUACAUUGGUGGGAUUGGGAGUCGUCCUUGCUAGUCGGCCGGUCUCGUGGGCGAAUAGUGUGGCCUCACUUUCGUUGCACUGUGGAAAGAUGACGUGAUUGUUGGAUUGUUGAGAAAAUGGGGAGAUUGUUUGCCUGCCCAGGCUAUGAAAUAUUUUUGUGUUCUCGAUGAUAUUUCUUAACUACAUAUAAAACUCGAGUUCACUGGUUGAGCGGGAUGUUGCAGCGGAUGGUUAGUGAGCUUUAGGAAUUUCCGGAUGCGUCGUGUCUUCAUACAUGGGCGUCAUCCCAUGACUCUCUUUGAUACUUGUUAUUCUGCUGCUGUGUUUGAAAUUAAUUUCUAGAAGUCUUCCGCACUAUUUAAUACUGUUUUAUUACAUUAAGUAUCUUGAGACUAAAAUCCGUUGCUUAACUUUUCAAUAAACUAAAAUAUUUCGUUUUGAAGUUAA